rnacentral:rRNA from 1 species
AACGUAGGAGACAAACGUUAUCCGGAUUUACUGGGCGUAAAGGGCGUGUAGGUGGUAGUGUAAGUCUGGCGUGAAAUUUUUCGGCUUAACCGGGAAAGGUCGUCGGAUACUGCACAACUAGAGGACGGUAGAGGCGUGUGGAAUUCCGGGUGUAGUGGUGAAAUGCGUAGAGAUCCGGAGGAACACCAGUGGCGAAGGCGACACGCUGGGCCGUACCUGACACUGAUGCGCGACAGCAUGGGGAGCAAACAGG